UUCCUUUAACGUUUGGAUCUUGCACUAGAAAAUAAGAAUCGUCAUAGCUUCUUUGUAAGCAGCAACAGAACCUUGGCAGAGAUUGAACGUAUCAGAUCUCCGAUCAAGUUACGCCGGUAAUAUAGUAUUAAUGGAACAGAGGGAGUAAUAAUUGACAAUAUAUAUACGUACACAUACGCGAUUGUUUUAUAAACCGACGGUAAAAUCAUCAGCUCCGCAGUCGUUCACAGAGGAGCAACCGCCAUACUGGGCCAUCUCUCUGAGAGCAAAGCCACAUUCUUAAGAACAUCAUUAGUCCAUGUGGCCUUGCAUAUUCUUAAACUAGUGAUGGCCUUGCAUAUUCUGAGAGCAAAGUCGAAGGAUAAACGCAUCAAAAAGGUGGAGAGAAACAGAGCAGAGCCAACUUUUUGAUGAAGGACAGCAGAGAGUCAGAGACCAACCUACAGCUACAAGAAGGUGAAGAAGAGCCAUGAUUUAUAUAAUUAAUUGAUUUUGAUAAUACGUAAGACUGAUAAGCCAGGCUCAACUUAGGCCCUUCAAGAAAUCUACCAACGUGUAUAAAUGACGUUUUAUUUGUUAUUUUCGGGAAAUUUUUUUAUUA